UUAUGCUAGAUAUUUUCAAGGUGAGGAGUGGAAGUGGAAUGGGGAAAGGACAUCCAAGAAACAACCUGCAAGGAAUGCAGGAGACUGAAAAAUGGCAGCUCUGGAUGGAUGCAAGAACACCUGGGAAAAUGGAAUCAAGGAAAGAGCAGAGCUCACCCCCACUCCAAGCUUGCAAUGGGCAAGAGAGCCGGAGAUAGCCAGGGCAUGAGGGGUGCUCUGGAGGUGCGAGGGCAGCAGGCUCAUUGUGCCUUCCAGAAGAUAUCCAAGACCUACUCUGCCCUAGCUGGAGCCAUCUCAGGGGCUUCUGAGAGUGGCUGCAUGCCACCAGUCUGAUCGGCCUUGGGGGCACAAAUCUUUCCUGUGCCUAUCAGGGCACCAGUGAGUAUUGCAAAGUGCUGGGAUCCUGCCAACAUCUCUGCAUCUCAUUUCUUAUGGCUGCUGCUCCUGGCUUCACAAGGGAUGAGGACAGAGCACUCUGCAGUGCUCCUUAAGUGUUCGUCCAAAAGCCAUUUCCUUGGUCUUACCGCUUGUCUUGGUGCUCCUUCUCAUCUCCUGAGAAGCUGGCCUCUGUCCCCUGAAGUCUGAAGCAGGAUUUUCAUCUAUCCAAUGGACUUUGAAUAUGGCCCCACUAGAAGCUGGCCUUGCAGCAGAGAACUGGCAUCAACCUCAUCCAGCCCGCCUCAGCCCCCACCAAGAAAUUACAGCAGCUCCUUAAGGACUUUCUCUUCAGGCUGACCCUGGACCAGCUCUGUGAGUGGGAUGUAGGAGUCCCCAGGCACAGCCCCCCUCACUUGCAGCCUUGUCCACCACACCUCUGUCCAGCAUCCAUACUAGAAUCAUAGAACCAUAGAAUAGCUAAGGUUGGGAAAGACCUUUAAGAUCAUCAAGUCUAGCCAUCAACCCAGCACCACAACCAUGCUCACCAUUAAACUAGGUCCUCACAUGUCAUAUCACAUGUUUUUUGAACACUUCAGGGAUAGUGAUAUCACCACUCUCUUGGGUAGUCUGUUCCAAUAUUUUAAAAUGCUUUAAAUGAAAAAAAGUUUCUUAAUAUCCGUCUAAACCUCCCCUGGUGCAACUUGAGGUGAUUUUUCUCUCAUCCUAUCACUUGUUACCUGGGAGAAGAAUUAGCCCUCACCUGUCUAUAACCUCCUUUUGGGUAGUGGUAGAGAAGAAUAAGGUCCUUCUGAGCCUCCUUUUCCCCAGGCUAAGCAACUCCAGCUCUGUCAGCUGCUCUGCAUAAGGCUUGUGCUCCAGACCCUUCCCCAGCUUUGUUGUCCUUUUGUGGACUUUCUCCAGUGCCUCAAUAUCUUUCUUGUAGGGAGAGGCCCAAAACAACACAGUGUUAGGCCUUCAGAAGAAGGCCUUUGGAGUUGUGGCCCUGAGGCAGUCCCUGUGUCCAGGAGUCUGUCCCUGCCCUUGGUGGCCAUGCACUGGAUACAGCUUCCAGGUGUGCAGGACAUGUCCUUCUCCCUUGGCUCCCAAGCACCAACCUCAUGCUGUUACUCCUCUCUCAGGCUGUGACAGAACCCAAACCCACAGCCCAGAGACCACACCUAUCAGCUGUCUCCUUCUGUGCCAAAGCUAAUGUCUAUGAAGUCCCACAAUGAGGGGGACCAGGGACUUGAUCUGUCUGGAUACAAACGCUUUUCCUGGGGCAUAAGUGGGGGGAUUGCAGCAGCUGCAGCCCAGAGGAAAGCCAAAGUGUAACCAGAGCCAUAGGCUGAGAUGGACAGUGCCAAAAGAACACCAGGGAAAGAGAGACUUGGAAAAACAGGUGAGCAGAGGUGACACUGGUGUGAUGAAAAGAUUGGUCAUUUUUAGAUCUCAAACAUUUGGAUCUCUGCCCAAAGCACAGUCAGGCAAACACAACUUCCAAAGUGUGAAAAUGGCUCAUUGUUGCUAUUGUAGUCACGUUCACUUGUCCCACUGAAACCAAGAUGUGCGACUCCUCUGUUAAACACUGUAGCAGGGCACCUCACUCUCUGCUAGGGCUAAUCUGUUGCUUGUUAGCUGGUGAACUCACCCCUCACAUGAGUUUCACAUGAGCUUGCUAAUUGGUGAAAUAACUCAAUCAGGACAGCUUGUCUUAUAGUGAGUUAUUUCAGCACCAUGUUUUCAGCUGAUAAUAAACAUCUUGCUGUGGAAGUGAGAUGAGGAGAGAUAAGCUGGAAUUUUUGACUGACAGACACUUCAUUCUAAAAUCUAUCAAAGCUACACCAAACUUUCACAAAGCACAUUUCUUCUGCACAUUCCCUGGAAAUGUGUGGUGGUCCCUCCCCAAAGCUGAGAUGCCUGCUUCAUGGUUACUCUCUUGAGUGUCGAGUGAAAGGACUCUGUGUACACUACAAUUUGGUGGUCAGUGUAAUUGACUCCUAAUCAGUACUAUUCCUUUGCUGGCUUUACUAUAGGUAUAUUGAUAUCAUGCACUGUUUUAUGUAAUAUACUAGUAGUUCUUUAGUUUUAUACUGUGUAGUAAGUAACUUUGUUUAAGAUCUUUUGUCUGCUAUCUCCUGUUUAUUCAAUAAAUAACUCAUUUUAUAAUAGACCUGGUCUGCCAUCCUUUAGAACUUGUGGGCUGGGGUAAUUUUAGGUGUCAACCACCUAAAUUUAGGCUGCUGCCAAAAAUCUGACCAAGGGCAGGACUUGUCUGAAGCUCACAUUUGAUUGAUAACAAACAAAUCCACUGGCUGGGUUUGUAUGGGAUACAAAGCAUGCUUCAAAUAAUGGUGUAAAACUUUUAGAGCUCAUUUCUCAUGAUGCCUAAAGAUUUUUAGCAUUUUUCAUACAUUUGUUCCUUUAUAGAUUAAAAAAAAAUAAUUGUGUACUUUUUAGUACUUUUCCUGCCCUCUCACAUUUUAGAACAGUGAGUUAACCCUUUCUAACACAUUCUUGAAAUUCUGUUUAGUCUUAUUCUCAAGAAGAAAAUUUCUGACAAGGACAUCCUGUUUUUCACUAGAAUUUGAGAAACAUAACAAGAUAUAGGGCAAAAAAACCCCUGGACCAACUCCAAGGGGCAGACCCAAGAGUGGGUUACUGGGGUAACUGAUCUCCUAUUGGAUGUACCUGCUAGAUGUACUAAUUAAAUAACCCUAUAAAAAUUAUAUAAAUCCUGUAUCACAUGUAUGCAUGGACAUAUUUGUGCACCUGAAAACUUUCAUUAAA